AGCGAACGCUGGCGGCAUGCCUAACACAUGCAAGUCGAACGAGACCUUCGGGUCUAGUGGCGCACGGGCGCGUAACGCGUGGGAACCUGCCCUUAGGUUCGGAAUAACUCCCCGAAAGGGGUGCUAAUACCGGAUAAUGUCUUCGGACCAAAGAUUUAUCGCCUUUGGAUGGGCCCGCGUUGGAUUAGCUAGUUGGUAGGGUAAAAGCCUACCAAGGCGACGAUCCAUAGCUGGUCUGAGAGGAUGAUCAGCCACACUGGGACUGAGACACGGCCCAGACUCCUACGGGAGGCAGCAGUGGGGAAUAUUGGACAAUGGGCGAAAGCCUGAUCCAGCAAUGCCGCGUGAGUGAUGAAGGCCUUAGGGUUGUAAAGCUCUUUUACCCGGGAUGAUAAUGACAGUACCGGGAGAAUAAGCUCCGGCUAACUCCGUG
rnacentral:rRNA from 1 species